rnacentral:lncRNA from 1 species
CUCGAUUGAAAUCUGUUGGUUUUAUGAAUGUGAUAGUAAAAAAUGAAUUCUAUGUCAAAUUCGAAUACAAUAUGCACUGAGUUUGAUUGAGCCUACUGUCUGUAUGCAGCUUAAGGAAUUAAAAGAUAUGUUCGACUUCUACAAAAACAAAAAAAAUAAAUAAAAAAAUUCUUAUACUAUUGGUUUUUCAGUGAAGAAAAGGAAUUUAAAAAGGGAGAGGAUGGAGAGUUGAGAUAUAUGACGCUGACAUGUAGUCGUGAAGGUCGAAGAAUCGGUAACACUAGCGGGUCUUUAAAGCCACAAUCGACAAUUCCGAUGGAUUGUAAAGCUAGAAUCUCUACAUCUUCAGAUAUUAACACAGUCCACCUCGAGCAUGAUUAUGAAACUAAUCCUUUGAAAUCUAGGUUAUAUCGAUGCAAUAGAAAACUGAGUGCACAUCUGAAACGCAAGCUUCAAGUGAAUGAUUUGGUAGUUAUUCAAUUGAAUAAAAUUUGUAAUUCUGCAGUUGUAGAAACAUGGGUUACGAGGACAUGGUUGUAUCGAAAAUGAUUGUCAGAAUUAUAUUGAACAAGUUAGGGAUUAAGAUUUGGAGAAGGAGAUGCUAUAGCAAUAUAAUCUUACUUUUCGAAAAUGUAAGCACAGUGCUUGGGAUUUUACUUUAGCUUUGAUUUGAACGAAUCAAAGUUGAAAAAUGUGCUUUGGGCAAAUAAUCUUUAUAGGCAAACAUAUAAGGAGUUUGACAAUGUUGUUACAUUUGAUACAACUUAUCUCACAAACAAGUAUGACAUGCCAUUUGCUCCAUUUGUUGGUGUCAGUCAUCAUGGACAAUCAAUAUUGCUUGGUUGUUGUUUGGUAUCAAAUGAAGACAUAUAUACUUUUGCACGGUUGUUCCGAACAUAGCUUAAAUGUGUGCAUGGGAACGCACAGCAUGGAAUAAUAACCAAUUAGGAUAGGGCCAAGCAAAAUGCAAUCCAGAUUGUUUUUCCAAACACAAAGCAUAGAUGAUGUUUAUGACAUAUUCUGAAAAAGUUGCCUGAAAAGUUUGGAUACCACGACGAUAAGGCUUUAAUAUUUGGGGCUAUACACAAAUUGGUUUAUGAUUCACAGUUUGUUCAGGAAUUUGAAGAAGGUUGUGUUGCAAUGAUUGAUAUGUAUGGCUUGCAUGAAAUGCCUCAAGCCAUGUUUUCUGGACUAUAUCAGAACAGAAGACAUUGGGUUCCAUGUUUUUUGAAGACCACUUUUUGGGCAGGGAUGUUAACAACUCAAAGAAGUAAGAGCCUGAAUGCAUUCUUUGAUAGGUAUGUGCAUUUGAAGACCUCCUUAAAGUAGUUUGUUGAACAAUAUGAAAGAGCACUUAAGGUUGAGAAGGAGCUCCAGGCUGAUUUCAAAUCAUUUUCAUAAAUGGUACCGUGUGCAACACAAGAUGGGAUUGAGCAGCAGUUGCGUCAGUUUACACAAUUUCAAAAUUAGAGAAUCUCAAGAGGAGUUCAAGUGGAAGAUUCACUGCGACCUCAUAUCUAGAUCAGAUGGGAACUUGAGGACUACAUAUGAGGUACAAGAGGAUGUUAUUUAUGAGAGGUGAAAGAAGAAAAAAAUUUCUUCUCUUUUAACAGAUAGAAAUAUGAAAUUGUUUAAAGCUGCUACUUGCUUGAGUUUCAAGGCAUCUCGUGCCGUAAUGCCAUCACAGUAUUAAUUCACAGUGAAGUCACAGUACUUCUACAGAGGUAUAUACUAUUGAGGUGGAGGUGAAAUGUUAGUAGAGCACAUACGAGAGUUGCAGUUAAUUUCAAUGGCUUGGUUAGUUCUCCCGAACAAUUGAGAUAAGAUGACAUGUGUUGAACUUUUGCCGGUGGCAAAUAUUGCUGCAAAUGUCAAAGGACGGUGAUGUGUGGUGAUGGAUUGGAUUAAGCUUCAAUGUCAACACCUCAUAACAUCAAAAAGGUCCGAUAGUGGAAGGAAUGUCAUAUCAUAGCAUAUAAUCUCCAUAGCCGAUUAGGGUAUUGAUUCAUAGAAUAAUGCCAACGUAGACAUACAGAUCCAAUAUUUAUGUGAAGAAAGAUGGCACCUAAGAAGCUUCGAAGAAAAGGUCCCUUGGAGUCAAGUUUCAAGAAAACGAAGGUACAUUAAAAGAUUAUCCUACAAAAUGCAACUGCUUCAAAAUAAUAACGUUGAUUGAACUUUCGAAGCACACACUGGAAAGUUCGACAUUAAGUAAAAGAAAGAGAACAACCGCAAGGUACACAGAUGCGCAAGAGGUCACUGUGGAUGAUCGCAAUUUCAGAAACAACAUUAUUCCAUGCAAACGCCACUCUCAUAUUUAUAGUAUUCCAUGCCAACACAAUUACCGUUUCUACAGUAUUCCAUCACGCCACCAUUAUCCCUUUCAAAGGGCUUACCAUAUUCGAAUUGGAUUCUUUCAUCGUUGGUGAAUGAAAUAUAUAGUUUGCAAGGUAUAAACAUAUCACAGACAUUUAUACUUCAACUUUGUAGUUCUUUUGUGUAUGGUUUUAUUAAUGUUGUUAUUGUAAUGUAGGUUAAACAAUGCCAUACUACUCUCCGCCUUUACCGGAACACGAUGACUUGGGCAAGUGAUUUGAUUUAUGCUUUAAUUUGAGCAAUAUCAAUCAAUGCAUGAUUAAAGUUCAAUCGUACAUAUGUUAAGAGAAUAAAAUUUCAUGAGGUUUUUUAGGUAAACCAAUGGAUCAAUGAUGGCAAAGAAUAGAAGGUUGAUCGGAGGGUCAAUUUCAUUUAGACCGCAUGGGGUAAUGAAGAAUGGAUCAAUUUUGUCGAAUAAUCAUUUUCAUAUUCUUUUAUAAGUUGGUUUGUAAUAUUUUUUGGGCAUAUACGAAAGUUCAAAUUUAUAGUCUUCUCCAUUUUUUUUGCAAUAUUGGUGUAUGCAUGGGAUAGAUUAAAUGGUUAUUAUAUGAUAUCACUCUUCUUGUUGUAAAGUUGGUUUUCUAGUCUCAGUCUAU